rnacentral:rRNA from 1 species
AACCUUACCAGGGCUUGACAUUCAGGUGAAGCGGCGGAAACGUCGUGGCCGAGAGGAGCCUGAACAGGUGGUGCAUGGCUGUCGUCAGCUCGUGUCGUGAGAUGUUGGGUUAAGUCCCGCAACGAGCGCAACCCUCGUCGCAUGUUGCCAGCGGUUCGGCCGGGCACCCAUGCGAGACCGCCGGCGUUAAGCCGGAGGAAGGUGGGGACGACGUCAAGUCAUCAUGCCCCUUAUGUCCUGGGCUGCGCACGUGCUACAAUGGUCGGCACAAUGGGCUGCCAGCCCGCGAGGGCGAGCGAAUCCCUAAAGCCGGCCCCAGUUCGGAUUGGAGGCUGCAACCCGCCUCCAUGAAGUCGGAGUUGCUAGUAAUCGCGGAUCAGCACGCCGCGGUGAAUGCGUUCCCGGGCCUUGUACACACCGCCCGUCACACCACCCGAGUCGAUUGCACCCGAAGUCGCCGGCCCAACCCGCAAGGGAGGGAGGCGCCGAAGGUGUGGUUGGUAAGGGGGGUGAAGUCGUAACAAGGUAGCCGUACGAGAACGUGCGGCUGGAUCACCU